rnacentral:rRNA from 1 species
GAUGAACGCUGGCGGCGUGCCUAAUACAUGCAAGUCGAGCGAACAGAUGAGGAGCUUGCUCCUCUGACGUUAGCGGCGGACGGGUGAGUAACACGUGGAUAACCUACCUAUAAGACUGGGAUAACUUCGGGAAACCUGAGCUAAUACCGGAUAAUAUAUUGAACCGCAUGGUUCAAUAGUGAAAGACGGUUUUGCUGUCACUUAUAGAUGGAUCCGCGCCGCAUUAGCUAGUUGGUAAGGUAACGGCUUACCAAGGCAACGAUGCGUAGCCGACCUGAGAGGGUGAACGGCCACACUGGAAAUGAGACACGGUCCAGACUCCUACGGGAGGCAGCAGUAGGGAAUCUUCCGCAAAGGGCGAAAGCCUGACGGAGCAACGCCGCGUGAGUGAUGAAGGUCUUCGGAUCGUAAAACUCUGUUAUUAGGGAAGAACAAAUGUGUAAGUAACUAUGCACGUCUUGACGGUACCUAAUCAGAAAGCCACGGCUAACUACGUG